CUGGCUUAAUUUGGAUUGAUUCUGAAGGGUGGAAUGGACUUCUUGUGUUUAGGAAAUCCAUUAGAUCCCGUUUAUACGGGAACUAACCUCAAACAAGUGUCUAGGACUUCUUGUCGUCUAUUCUGCACUUGCACAUUCAUUGGGGCGUUUCCGCGAGGGGAUUCUCUUGCUACGAUGUUCCGAGCGUUGGUUUGCUAUUAGAGAAUAUUUUCUCAAGAUUGCUGUUGGCGUUUGCCUAGGAGAACUCGUGCGAGAAGAUCCAGUUCAUAUCUUGACUUAACUAUACCGUGUGCUUGUUCUAUAUGCAGAAACACUCGCGGUUUUGCUGUUUCAAAUCCAUUUCAGAAAUAUACAAAAAUUGAAGAAAUAUUGGUCUUCAAUGUUUCAGUCUUUCUGGUCUUUUCCUUUCUAGCGGGUGCGCGGCUAUCCGGGUGCCAUGUUCUUCGCGCAUCCUGAUGAAGGUCGCCGAUGCAGUAACUCCUUUUUCCAUAUAACGCGC
rnacentral:sRNA from 2 species